rnacentral:ncRNA from 1 species
ACAAAGGCUUGGUCCUGACUUUACUAUCAGCUUCAACCCGAUUUAUACAUGCAAGUAUCCGCACCCCUGUGAGAAUGCCCUCAAUCCUCCGAUCGAGAACGAGGGGCAGGCAUCAGGCUCGACCCUAUAUCAUAGCCCAAGACGCCUUGCUACGCCACACCCCCAAGGGAUUUCAGCAGUAAUAAACAUUAAGCCAUGAGUGAAAACUUGACUUAGUUAGGGUUAAAAGGGUCGGUAAAAUUCGUGCCAGCCACCGCGGUUAUACGAAAGACCCAAGUUGAUAGAUGCGGCGUAAAGGGUGGUUAAGGAACACAAAAAUAAAGCUAAAGACCCUCUAAGCCGUCAUACGCACCCCGAGGGCACGAGACCCUAACACGAAAGUAGCUUUAAACAAAAUUUACCUGAUCCCACGAAAGCUAAGAAACAAACUGGGAUUAGAUACCCCACUAUGCUUAGCCUUAAACCUAGAUGUACUAUUACAAACACAUCCGCCAGGGUACUACGAGCCUAGCUUAAAACCCAAAGGACUUGGCGGUGUCUCAGACCCACCUAGAGGAGCCUGUUCUAGAACCGAUAACCCCCGCUAAACCUCACCACUUCUUGUUUUUUCCGCCUAUAUACCGCCGUCGUCAGCUUACCCUGUGAAGGUACUACAGUAAGCAAAAUGGGUCCACCCAAAAACGUCAGGUCAAGGUGUAGCGUACGAAGUGGGAAGAAAUGGGCUACAUUUUCUACUAACAGAAUAUACGGAUGGCACCCUGAAACAUUGUGCCUAAAGGUGGAUUUAGUAGUAAAAAGAAAACAGAGAGUUCUUUUGAAUUAGGCUCUGAGACGCGCACACACCGCCCGUCACUCUCCCCUAUAACUGCUAUUAAAAACAUUCAUAAUAAAACACCAUUAUAAUACGGGGAGGCAAGUCGUAACAUGGUAAGUGUACCGGAAGGUGCACUUGGAUAAUCAGAGCG